CACGGGGGGAGCAAGCGUUGUUCGGAAUUACUGGGCGUAAAGUGUGCGCAGGCGGCCGCGCAAGUCGAGUGUGAAAGCCCCGAGCUUAACUUGGGAAUUGCGCUCGAAACUACGUGGCUGGAGUGUGGCAGAGGAAGGUGGAAUUCCACGUGUAGCGGUGAAAUGCGUAGAGAUGUGGAGGAACACCGAUGGCGAAGGCAGCCUUCUGGGCCAACACUGACGCUCAUGCACGAAAGCGUGGGGAGCAAACAGG
rnacentral:rRNA from 1 species